rnacentral:rRNA from 1 species
AAGAAGGACUCUCGGCAACGGAUAUCUCGGUUCUUGCAUCGAUGAAGAACGUAGCGAAAUGCGAUACUUGGUGUGAAUUGCAGAAUCCCGUGAACCAUCGAGUCUUUGAACGCAAGUUGCGCCCAAAGCCAUUCGGUUGAGGGCACGCCUGCCUGGGUGUCGUG